UUGCACUUUGUUCCCCGCCCGCUCGUCCCUCGGUUCUCCUCAUCCCUCCUCUGCUCUAGCUGCUACGCCGCCUCUCCCUCCACAACGCGGCCAGCUCGAGCUCCACCUCCUCCAUCUCAAGGAGACGACUGCACAAGACGUCCGGCGCCGUCACCAUCGUCCUUGGCACAACUGAAGCACGUGAUGCUUGCUGCGUCGUCGUCGUCCUUUCUCUCGCUGCCACCACCACCCUGACCGAGCCAUCCCCGUGCUCUCGCUGAGCCUUCCCCUCCUGGGUCACUGACCCAGGUGGCGGAGAAGGAGAGGGUGAGCUCGAGGGGCUGGCAAGGGAGGAGGGGGUUGACGGGGUCUGAUCUGGUGGCGGCAGAUUGGAGCUCGAGCUCGAGGCGGAGACAAGGAAGGUCGGAAAAUGAAGAGAUGGGAUGAAGGUGCUCGAGGCGAAGGACCGCUCAUCGGCGAGUUCUAGCUGGAGGCGGCGAGAUCCCUCUCCCAAUCUCUCAUUCUCUUGAUUUUCCCUCUCCAAACCUUCAUCUCUGUUCUCGCGCGUUGCACACGUCUGCUCCCCCUCACCACAACCAGCGUCGGUAGCCUGCAUCCCCCAUCAAGCGUGCAUCAGCGCUGGAUGUGCAAGCUUCAACGACCGCAUCAACAACGAUGGUGGGCAGGAAAGGAGUGAGAUGGCGGUCAUGAUUUUCAGUCUGAAGUUGCUUUUACGAACUUUCAAUCAAUGUUAGCACUGAAUAUAUAUAUAGUAUUUCUUCUGCAUUGAGCCAGAUAGUUUAGCUGAUAAUUUGUUCGUUCUGCAGCCAAGCAGGGGAAGAUAAUGGUAACCAAGGCCACCUUUGUUGGUCAUGGAUUUAGAAGAAAGCCAACAGACUAUGAAAAGGUUCUCAUGGGACUCACCUUGAACUGAAAUCUUUGUUCAACCUUGGUAUAAUUCUGUGACAGAAACCCCAGGUGGUCCAAUAUUUUGUUUGUUUCUUUAGUGCCUGUUGUUUUUUGGUUUGUUAUAACCGAAUUUACAGCCUACAAUACAUGCAUUUCUUUUAUUCUGUUUUGGUGGGUUCUAAACUAUGAAAUUAGGAAACAUAUAGUUUAUUAGUUUGACACCUGCUCCAGGAUAAAUAAUGGAAGGAAGAAUUCUUACUUCAUGGUGACACACAUGACUGUCAAACUGCAGAAAAUACUUGAUUUAUGUACUGUAUGAUUCCCGAGUUCCUUUGCUUUCAAGAUUUAAGUGGGGAGAACUUAUGAGCUUAUAAAUGAGUGAUUCGGAUUUGUCUAAUUGAGAACUAGCAAAUCAUGAAGAGUAAGGGUUUUCUACUCGUAUAGACUGGUUGGUCGAUUGCAUCUUGAUACAUCAUACCUUAAACAUCAUAACUUCUAAUUGGGGGACCAGGUUGAUGCCCUGUCUGAUGAGAAUCUUUUGGGAUGCACGGGCAUAUGCUUCCACCACUAUAUACAAUGAGUACAACAUUUAACAUGGGCAUGAUGUUAAAUUAGAGUGAAUCUAAGGGCCUACUGGGUGCAUAAUCUGUGGCUAAAUUAUUUUAGAUUUUUUGUGUGUGUGCGAGGAGCAGUUCUACUACCUCUUCAUGGUUCGUCAUUUACAUAUUAGUUGGAUGAUAUCUCUUUAUUCUGUUGUUGUGACUGACCAGCUGCUUACUUAUAUGGAUAACUUGAACUGAAAGCAAGAGUAGAAGCCCAUGAGAUGAGACACAAGGAAAAUAUGCAUGUUAUUUUCAAUUCUAAUGUUUCAGUUCCAUAUUCUCCUACUUGACUGGAUAUGUGAUGUAUAUACUGAUUUCCUGCUACUAUUUGAGUUAUAACACUUUUUAUGUUUCUCUGGCAGAAAAUGGCACAAUCAUGAUUCAGUUUGGUCAGCAAGUACCUAAUUACAAGUCAUCAGCUAGCGAUUCUUCCCAAGAAGUGUUCGGAAUGAGAAAUGAAGCUUUAAUGAGAAGAAUAUUGAUGUUGUACAAUAGCCGUAAGAUCACAAGAGAUUGACCUUUUGGGUGGUCUAAUACUUCCUAUAUGGGCACAUAGAAAAGCCACUACGCAAGUAGUUCAGUCUUUUCUUUAAAAACUGCUUUCUCUUACUACACAACCAGGCUCAAUUCAUACGUAUGUAAAUUUUACAUCAUACUUCUUCCAUUCCCAAAACAAGGGUAUUAUUUCUCCCCUUCCCUAAUCAGUGUUUCAGACCUUUUUUGAGUUGAGAAUCUCACCUACAGCACAUCAAUUGUCUGUAAAUAAAUGUAACAUGAAUCACUCUCCAAAAUCCUUGAAACUUGAGCUUCGAUGAAUAUGAAGGUCUUUGUGUUGGCAUACACUCCUUUAUUCCAAAUGGUGCUGAUAUAAAAACACCAUCAGGGAUUCCAUGUGUACCAUGUAUGUCCAUAAAAACAGCAUUGAUAUAUCAGCACACUAAUGUGCUGAUCUAAAAACAUUUUUUUCUAAGUGACGGUUUCGAGUCGGCAAAAAUAUAGUGUAUGUCCAUAAUGUGAUGGCAACUGAGUAUCCAUGUGUACAGGGAAGGCAUCAGUCUAUAUCGAAAAACACCAGCAAUUUUAU
rnacentral:lncRNA from 1 species